rnacentral:rRNA from 1 species
UACAGAGGUCUCAAGCGUUGUUCGGAUUCAUUGGGCGUAAAGGGUGCGUAGGCGGCCAACUAAGUCGGACGUGAAAUCCCUCGGCUUAACCGGGGAACUGCGUCCGAUACUGGAUGGCUUGAGUUUGGGAGAGGGAUGCGGAAUUCCAGGUGUAGCGGUGAAAUGCGUAGAUAUCUGGAGGAACACCGGUGGCGAAGGCGGCAUCCUGGACCAACACUGACGCUGAGGAGCGAAAGCCAGGGGAGCAAACGGG